CUGAAAAUUUGUUUUUUGGAAAUAAAAGUAUGUGAUUAGGAAGCGGCCAGACAACCGUAGAGAUGGUAUCCACAGAUGAUGGGUUAAUCAAUCCCGCUUGUCUAUUGAUCCCGCUUGUCUAUUGAUUCCAUCUCACAUUU